rnacentral:rRNA from 1 species
AUUGAACGCUGGCGGCAUGCCUUACACAUGCAAGUCGAACGGCAGCACGGGAGCAAUCCUGGUGGCGAGUGGCGAACGGGUGAGUAAAGUAUCGGAACGUGCCCAGUCGUGGGGGAUAACGUAGCGAAAGUUACGCUAAUAUCGCAUACGAUCUAUGGAUGAAAGCGGGGGAUCGCAAGACCUCGCGCGGUUGGAGCGGCCGAUAUCAGAUUAGGUAGUUGGUGGGGUAAAGGCCCACCAAGCCGACGAUCCGUAGCUGGUCUGAGAGGACGACCAGCCACACUGGGACUGAGACACGGCCCAGACUCCUACGGGAGGCAGCAGUGGGGAAUUUUGGACAAUGGGCGAAAGCCUGAUCCAGCCAUGCCGCGUGCAGGAUGAAGGCCUUCGGGUUGUAAACUGCUUUUGUACGGAACGAAAAGGACUGCCCUAAUACGGUGGUCCCAUGACGGUACCGUAAGAAUAAGCACCGGCUAACUACGUGCCAGCCGCCGCCGUAA